CAAUUCAUAUUCACACACACAGUCACAACUAGUCAUUUUCUUUCUUUCUCUCUUUUUUCUAAUUAAAAUGGUGGAAAAUAAGCCAAUCAAAUACGUUGCAAUACUUCUUUUAGUGCUUAAUUUUUGUAUGUUAUUAUAGUGAGCAUUUGGGGUAAUGCUCUCCAUAGAGCCAUUGAUUAUGGUUUUGUCAUUGCUUCGCUUGUUAAGAGAUUGAACUCGAUUCCAGAAACACCAAGCUGGUAAGAACAUAGUCCUAUACAAAUUCUUUUGCAUAAAUACAUUAAUUAUUUUAAUAUUUUUAUUUUCACUAUUUUUGAGUUUUCUUCUUUUAGAGAAGAAUGGAUGGAGGCAUUCAUAAUCAUCCUUACAGCCACACAAUUCACAUAUGUAGUAGCCAUUCAUAGUGUUCUCAUACCUUAAUAAUUAAGAAGUUUUUGAGAAUUUUGAGAAUGAAUUUUAACAAGUGUGUUUUGUUCAAUCAUCUAGAGGAUUUUUCCUUGUUUUCUUUGUACCUUAAUUCUUUCACUUCUUAUCUCUUAGGAGUAUUUGCACUUUGUUGUGUGAUUCGGUUUAUUAUGAUAAAUAAUAUCAAAUUAUUUUUGCAAAUUUAUGGUUUUUUCAAUACCCAAUACAAUCCACCAUUGUCCAAUUUUGAUGAGAUUGGGAUCAUAUGAAACUUUGAGAAACAACUAUUUACCCUUUAUAGAUAAAUAAUGAGUAAUGAUAUGUACACAAAAAUUAUGAACUAGAACAUUACCAUUUAGAAAGGUGAAUACCAUCUAAAAACUCAUUGACGCCCUAUCUAUUACAAUUCCUAUAAUUAGAUCGCCCACGGGCUAAAAGCAACCUUCACCAUCGCCUGAGACUACUAACAAGGAUUCUAACCCUA